AGCUCUCUGUUGAGAGAUUAAGUUCCAUGAAGAAAUAUGUUUUUGGACUGGGUUCUGCUCAGGUCUUGGUGACAGCUGUGGUUGUUGGCUUACUUGCUCGUUAUGCUUCUGGGCUGCCUGGUCCAGCUGCAAUUGUCAUUGGCAAUGGCCUUGCGCUGUCUUCAACUGCUGUAGUCCUUCAGGUUUUGCAGGAACGUG